UAUACUAUAAGUGUCUCCCUGCUUUCGUAGGAGAGUUCACCUGCAAGUCCAGCAGAGAGCCAGAGAUAGCUCUAAACCUUCUCAGUGCUUCACUCCAUAAGACCAUAACCUUAAUUACAUCUUCAAGCCUUCAUCUCUGAUUGACUGGAAGACAAUUGCAGUUCUUCUUCCAACAAUUGAAGUUCAGAAGUUCACCACAAAAGAAGUAGAUUUCUUCCAACUUAAUUUGUUUAUAGAGGAUUGACAGAUAAAACAUACCUAUAUGAGGAAAGGAACCAUUGAAAUCAUGGAAGCAGUUGCUUUAGUGUCCAAUACUGAAGCAAGGGUGCUUCUUGGUGAGGUGAAGGACCACAUCAGCAAAUUGCCUGACUCUAUUCUUCAGUAUAUUUUCUCCUUCUUGCCCACAAUAUAUGCUGCAGCAACCAGUGUAUUAUCAAGAAGCUGGGAGUACGUUUGGACCUCCGGCUUCAAUCUUGACUUUUAUGAUAAGAUGGUGUCAAAUCUGGUUAAAGCUCCUGAGCAUAGGAAUAGCUUUAUGAAUUUUGUGUAGAGUACUGAUGACUCCAUGAUGCUUCAGUUCUGACUCGAACCCAUGACCACUUGGUCACAAUGGAGCAAACUUACCGUUUCACCAAGGUCAAACCUCUACGCUGUUGGAUGGUGCCCAAAAAAGAAGAGUUCCGAGUGUGUUUGCAGAUCAGAUGGUUAUCUAUUUGUGGGCUGUGAUAACUUAUGCAUGAAACCUUGUCAUGUUUGGGCGCCAAAGACAGCCUUGGACUACUUUGGGUUCUUCUGGAAGAAUAUGGAAAGACAUACAGCUUUCCUACAUUUUAUAAUCUGAAUCGCUUGCUGUUCAAGGAUCUUGAUGAAUCUGAUAUGAAAAUACUAAUCUGCUUGCUCAACCAAUCGCCUAAUCCUGAACAUCUUGUCUUUGACGAGGUAAAUUUUAAACCCUUAAUGUUGUGACUGUUAAUAUCAAUCCAAUUGUACAAUUGCAUUAUUUUUUUACUUUCUUCUGGUUGUUAUUUCUCUAUGAAUUGGCUGUCUCUUAAUUAGAAGUAUAGCUUGAUUGUCCUUACUAUAGGGAAUUGAGCCUCCUGAAGAUGAUGAAACCUAUUGAGAACCAAUGCAUGUGCGUUGCCUCCUGAAGGGAUCUUUUCCCUUCUAAAUUUUAAGGUUCAAAAUUUUUAUUAUAAUUUUGGUUCAUGAUGUACAUUUUUCUAUUUCCUUAUUUUCUUUUGACGCAUUUUGAUGCACAUGUCUUCAUCAUGUGACAAAUUCAAUGGCUAUGAUUUUUGGCACAUGUCUGUUCUGCACAAGCUUGGUUGUGCUUUCCCUUUAGGUUAACCAUUUAUGAAAUGUGUUAAAAGAAAUGGGUUCGAAAAGAUAGCACAUGUUUAUUUUGGAACCGUUGGAUUAUUUAAUGUGUGACAAAUUCAAUGACUAGGAUUUAAUCGCAUGUUCUAUGUGUGAAGGCCUUUGAAUUAUUUCCAUUUAUUGCUUUUGCUUUUCUUUAUUUGGUAUUUUGGAGGGAGAGAAGGACCCCUGAGGCCUAAUUGGUGGUUUUCUCUCAUCUGCGCACAACUCACAAUCUCUCAUUUCCUCCUCCCUUAUCUUCUAUAUGACUUUUCUUUUCAGAUAUUUUGAAGCAACAUUGUUAAUUUGGAUGCCUAUAAGUGAGGUGUAUGGUGGAAAGCUGCUCUGCCCUUUAUUGAUUAAGGAUUUUCUCUUAGGUUUGCACCAUCUGUAUGUACAUUUGUUGGAUGACACAGGAAUUGGGUUAUUUUGGUUGACAUCCCUAGGGAGCUUUCUGGUUUAAUAUGGCAGUUUGGCUACCUAGUUGGUCGCUCUGUUGCUUCUCAGUGUUAUACAUAGUUAUUAACCUUUGUGGCACCAGGUCACAAAGCCUUGCUUUGCUUGAUGGUAAUAGAGUUUACUUGCAAGGAGUGAUGGAGUUUAAUUUCUUUCUGAUACCAAAGCAGUUACUGGAACUACGUAGAGAGGAAAGCCAAAGUUGUCCAGUGAUUCUGUUAGUGAUAUUACUGGUGAUACUUCAAUGUUUCAAGCCUUCUCCGGAUGUGUCUGCUUAUUGGAGAGACUGCAAUUUUAGAGCUCAUUGAAUAUAUCUCAGCCUAGUUUAGUUUUGAGUGAGAACUUCCAUGAAAUACUAGAAAGGCCAAUAUGAAUUCUUAGUAGUCCUGAGACUUCCGGUAAUUUUGAAUGCCUGGACCUAUGUUAGCUGAGUUGGAAGGCCUUGGAUCAUUGACUGAUGGAAAGAUACAGGGUUUCCCGUCCUAGUUUCAACAUGAGAACAACUACUAUAGUUCAAAGUCCCAAGAUUUCACUUACCUGAUUGAAACAUAUCCCACUCACUAUCAGGCUACUACAAUGAUCUAACCCUCAUGGGGUAGUAGCUCAGUUGGCAAGGACCAACAUCUCACUGUUAAGAGGUCAUUAGUUCAACUCUCCUUGAGAUAGCUGGUUUGGGGAACCUAACAAAGUGAGACUUGAAUCUGAUUGCUUGUCAUUUAUUUGUAACCAGUGAGAAGAGUAUAGGUUUCUCUUAUCAUAUGAUCUGAUGUGCAGUUGAGAGUGCAAGUUGGGAAAAUCAAGCUCAAAUUUGAACCAAAAUAAUAAAGGUUU